rnacentral:tRNA from 1 species
UUUUCUGGUAGCUCAAUUGGUUAGAGCAUUUGGUUGUUAACCUCAAGGUUACAAGUUCAAGUCUUGUCCAGAAA